rnacentral:snRNA from 1 species
UCUCAAAAACGAAGUAAGUAUUCACUUUGGUUGAAACGAUACAGAAAACAUUAGCAUUACCCCUGUGCAAGGAUGACAUGCAAAUUUAUGAAAUGUUUCAUAUUUUU